GUAGAACGCACAGGAUGCACCGUAGUUUACUACACCGUAUUCUGUGAGUUGCGAACGGGUGAGUAACGCGUAGGUAACCUGCCUGGUAGCGGGGGAUAACUAUUGGAAACGAUAGCUAAUACCGCAUAAGAACAUUUACUGCAUGGUAGAUGUUUAAAAGGUGCAAAUGCAUCACUACCAGAUGGACCUGCGUUGUAUUAGCUAGUAGGUGAGGUAACGGCUCACCUAGGCGACGAUACAUAGCCGACCUGAGAGGGUGAUCGGCCACACUGGGACUGAGACACGGCCCAGACUCCUACGGGAGGCAGCAGUAGGGAAUCUUCGGCAAUGGGGGGAACCCUGACCGAGCAACGCCGCGUGAGUGAAGAAGGUUUUCGGAUCGUAAAGCUCUGUUGUUAAGGAAGAACGAGUGUGAGAAUGGAAAGUUCAUACUGUGACGGUACUUAACCAGAAAGGGACGGCUAACUACGUGCCAGCAGCCGCGGUAAUACGUAGGUCCCGAGCGUUGUCCGGAUUUAUUGGGCGUAAAGCGAGCGCAGGCGGUUAGAUAAGUCUGAAGUUAAAGGCAGUGGCUCAACCAUUGUAGGCUUUGGAAACUGUUUAACUUGAGUGCAGAAGGGGAGAGUGGAAUUCCAUGUGUAGCGGUGAAAUGCGUAGAU
rnacentral:rRNA from 1 species